CUAAAGCCCAAAAACCUGAACAAGAUAAGAAUUCACUGAAAAAGGUCAGCUUAUCAGGCAGAAAAGCUGCUGAAGAUACAGACAAAAGGAAAAACAAAUGCAAAACUAGGAAGAGAUGCAGAAAAUUGGCAGGAGUUUGUCAGUCCAAGAAAAUGGCAUGCGUCGGCGGCAAGAAGUUGAAAGGCACGAAGUUAUGUAACAAGAAAAAGUGUCGCUGCUGCGCCCCUAAAUCAUCACUAUGCAAGGAAAAGAAAUGGUGCAAGAAACGGGGCGGAAAAUGCCAAUUCAAGUGGGAAUCCUGCGACGGAAAGACAAGGGCUAAGGGAUGCAGAGGAAGCAGCGUCUGCGUCUGUUGUAUUCCCGAAAUCUCACCAA